CCUACCUGGUUAAAUACAGGUGAAAUAAAACAUUUAAAAAGUAAUGAUGGUUAAAUACAUGUAGGCUAAUUAACAUGUAUUAGCAAAACUAUUUUGUCUUGGAAGUCACAUUAGUAGGUGUUCAGUGCAUGAGAGAACUUACAUUUUAGUCAUGUUAUUGUGUCAUUGCAGCAUCAUUUUGUCCACAACUCUUUUGGUUAAAGGCAGUGCUACACCUGGCUACCUACCCAACCCUGCAACUUUGAGAAGUCCAGUAUUGUCUUUCUCCUUCCUAACAUACCAUUCUGCAGAAAGUGUCCUACGUCUUGUGUUGGGAGAAUGCACUGCCUUGUGUACAGAACAUACAAUAUGUUACAAAGAGAGUGGAGGCUAGAGGCUUAAAACCACUAGUUUGAUACACUAUUCAUACACUCUGCUAGACCAGUCCAGUGAACAUUUUAUGACUUUGUUCGAAAAUACUCCGGAGCUGCCAGAGUCGCCCUUCACUCCGGAGCUGCCAGAAUCGCAGCCCCUCAGUCCAGAGGCGCCCCUCAGUCCAGAGGCGCCCCUCAGUCCAGAGGCGCCCCUCAGUCCAGUGGCGCCCUCUACGAGGGUCUUCAGUCCGGGGCCCGCUUCGAGGGUCCCCGCCUCAGAGGGCCACCUAAGUGGGCCAAGACUGAGGUGGAGUGCGGUCCACGUCCCGCACCUGAGCCGCCGCCGUAAGAAGGCCCACCCCUGUCACGCCCUGGCCAUAGAGAGGCUUUUAUUCUCUAUUUUGGUUACGGCAGGGUGUGACUGGGGUGGGCUUUCUGUGUUCCUUUUUCUAUGUUUUUGUAUUUCUUUGUUUUUGGCCGGGUGUGGUUCUCAAUCAGGGACAGCUGUCUAUCGUUGUCUCUGAUUGAGAACCAUACUUAGGUAGCUCUUACCCACAUGGGUUUUGUGGGUAGUUGCUUUCUGUUUUGCACCUGAUGGAGCUGUUUCGGUUGUUCUCUUUGUUACUUUGUAUUUAGUGUUCCGUUCUAUUUAAUAAAUGACGAACUUGU